GCCUUAUAGCGGCGAGUGAGCGGCAUAGCUCAAUUUGAAUCUGGCACCUUCGCGUGUCCGAGUUGUAAUUUGAAGAAGGUAUCUUUGGUUUUGGCUCUUGUCUAUGUUCCUUGGAACAGGACGUCACAGAGGGUGAGAAUCCCGUGCGAUGAGAUGCCCAAUUCCAUGUAAAGUUCCUUCGACGAGUCGAGUUGUUUGGGAAUGCAGCUCUAAGUGGGUGGUAAAUUCCAUCUAAAGCUAAAUAUUGGCGAGAGACCGAUAGCGAACAAGUACUGUGAAGGAAAGAUGAAAAGAACUUUGAAAAGAGAGUGAAAAAGUACGUGAAAUUGUUGAAAGGGAAGGGCUUGAGGUCAGACUUGGUUUUACCAGGCCAGCAUCAGUUUGGAUGGCAGGAUAAUAGCUUAGGAAUGUGGCACUGCUUCGGUAGUGUGUUAUAGCCUGGGU
rnacentral:rRNA from 1 species